CGCCCUUGUCCGAAGGGGCACAGGCGCAUCCUUGGUGGCUUGUCCUCUGGGGCCUGCAGAGCUGAGAGGCGGUGGUGUGGACGGGGAUGCCGUGAUGGGGAAGGUGGUCCUUGGCUGUGCUCCGGGCUGGCGACCAGGCCGGGAGCGGAGAGGGGAGAAGACAGCAGAGAAGGGCUGCCGGGACGGCACAGUUGUUGUGACAGCUUCAGUCCCCUGCUGGGGAUAGUCCCUGUGCUUCUGUUUGGACUAUUCAGCCUGAUUACUCCUGUGUGCUAGGUCUCUCCGAAGUACAAGCUCCCCUCUGAAUUCUCCCAUUGCUCCCCAAAGUCCCCUUCCUCACUGCUCUGCGCCAGAAGGGCUGCUGGAAACCUGCUGCACGCAGUAUUGCUGUGAACCUCUCGCCCAGGAUUACGCAUGUUGGACAGCGGAUGAUUUCCCUGGGUCGCUGGCCGAGUGCGGCGGUAGCUGGGCCGUGCAGGAAAGCCGUGCCGCCGGACAGAUUGCGGGCUCAUGUUGCCAAGCAAUUAGUGUCACCUCUGCACACUACCUGGGAUUUUGCACCGAGUGCUGCUGCACUGAUAGAACUGGACAAAAUCAAUCAAAAAGUGAUUGGUUUCAUAUCUGUUCCCAGUGGAAACAAGGUUAAUAAAUUAAACACC